UCUUUUUGGCCGUUCUCCUGAUGUGAAAAUUGAGCAUGUAGGUGUUGAUAUCAACUCUGUGAGAUCCAACAAAACUGUGCUUUGGGAUUAUGGGAGGUCUAGUGUUGAGAAUGGAUGGACCAAUGAAGCUCAGAUAAGUUAUGCUUCUAGUUCAAAAAAUCUUAGUGUUUCAUUCCGUACAAAUAUAACUGGCAAUUUCUACUUUGUGGUUGAUCUACGAGACCAUUUGCCAGAUUGGGUCAGUGUUGGCUUUUCAGCUUCAACAGGAGCCGCAAUUUCUUACAAUACAAUCAAUUCAUGGGAAUUCAGUUCUACUCUGGAGUCCCAUGCAGAAGCUCCGAGUCCAAGUCAUCGUGGUCCAGUACCACAGGUUCCAAAACAUAUUAAAACAAAUAAUAAAAGGAUGGGUCUAGUGAUUGGAUUGGCGGUAGGGGGGUUUGUUCUUGUUUGUGCUGCGGGUAUAUACAUUAUAUUGAAGAAGAAGAAGAAAGAAAGAGCAGAAAAUGAAAAUACCAAUUGUUUUGAGGAUGAUUUCAUGGAUGAUGACUUUGAGAAAGGAACUGGACCUAAAAAGUUCUCGUAUAAUGCUCUUGCUAUGGCAACAAGCAACUUUGCACCACAUGGAAAACUUGGAGAAGGAGGAUUUGGGGAAGUUUACAAAGGCUACUUGAGUGAACUGAAUUUGGAUGUGGCUGUCAAGAGAGUAUCAAGAAAUUCUAGACAAGGAAUAAAGGAGUAUGCAUCCGAAGUGAGGAUCAUUAGUCGUCUCAGACAUAAAAAUUUGGUGCAGCUCAUUGGUUGGUGCCAUGAACGGAAUAAUCUUUUACUUGUCUAUGAGUAUAUGCAAAAUGGUAGCCUGGAUUCCCAUCUUUUCAAGGGGAAGAGCUUGCUGUCUUGGAGUACAAGGUAUAAAAUGCGUCAGUAUUGCUUUAUCUACACGAAGAAUGGGAGCAAUGUGUGGUGCAUAGAGACAUUAAAUCAAGCAAUGUCAUGUUAGAUUCAAGUUUCAACACUAAGCUAGGUGAUUUCGGACUGGCCAGAUUUGUUGAUCAUGAAAGGGGUGCACAAACAACUAUGGUGGCCGGGACACGAGGCUACAUGGCCCCCGAAUGUUUUUUCACAGGCCAAGCUAGCAGGAUGUCGGAUGUUUUCAGCUUCGGAGUUGUAGCAUUAGAAAUAGCAUGUGGUCGAAAACCUAUUGACCUCAAGCUAGAAGAAAGUCGGGUAGAAUUAGUAAAGUGGGUUUGGGAGCUUCAUGGAAGGGAACAAAUUCUUGAAGCAGCAGACCCAAAACUCUCCGGGGAUUACGACGAGAGUCAAAGGAAACGGUUGAUGAUGGUCGGGCUCUGGUGUGCCCAUCCAGAUUGGCCAAUUAGGCCUUCCAUUAAGGAGGCGAUUCAAGUUCUUAAUUUUGAUGCUCCAUUGCCUGUUCUCCCGCCCCAGAUGCCAGUGGCAACCUAUUCCAUACCAUCAAAUUUGUCUUUAGAAGACAAGGCCACAACCCAGAGAAGCCAAACUCAUUCUUCAGGCUCUAGUAACGGAACUGAUUCAUCAGUGUCCGCAACUGCAGCACGUCUAAAUAAUACUAGAUAACCAUGUUGUUUAAUAUGCAGCUGAAUACAUUUUUUUGAAGAUAAGCGUGUCGGUUGAUAUGCAACUCAAUAUUUAUUAUGUGUGAUUUUAUAAUUUGAUUCAGUUUGAUUGUAAUUCUGAGGAUUAACAUGUCGGUUGAUAUGCAACUCAAUACUUACUAUGUGUGAUUUUGUAAUUUGAUUUUAGUUUCAUUGUAACUCAUUCAGUGAUUUGCAAAGUCAUGGUCUACGGUCAUUAGCAUUACCUCUCGGCAAUGAUCAAUAGAAGUCUACGUCGACUAUCCUUUUUUAUAAAUUUCAAAUAAUGUUCGAUAUGAGCUAUCAAACGUUAGUUUUAGUCAUAAAAGAGUGUAUCAUGAAUUACAAGUAAACAAUCAUUUACUUUUAGAUCUAGAACCAUAAAGUAGGAGCGUUUGGCAAAUAAAAUUAAGUCCUUAUUAAAGAUUUGUUUCUUUUAAAAUGCUUAUUUUAUAAAUUUUUUAAAUAUAAAUAUUAGGUAGGUGUUGCAUAUUCAUUAUGCGACAAAAAAAAAGGACUAAUUUCAGGAAAAAAAUUAAGCUAUUAUUUCAGAAAAAUGAGUGUAGUCAAAGGAGAACACGGUAACCCACUCUUUUUCUUUUCCAUUUUCUGUUUUGUUUUACCCACGGCUGUAAAUUGAUUAUGGUGAAACUGGAUUAAAAAUACAAUCCGAGUUCGAAUCGAAUAUGAACAAUCGAUCAUAUUUUGGGUAUUUGGGUAGGAUAAUAUUAGAAAAAAUUAUAUGUGAUCUAAUUUGAUCAGCAGUAUAAGAUUGCUCAUAUCCGGCAUCAUAUAUUAUCCAGGCUUAAUUUUUCCAACAGAUUUCGAUCGUUUUCAAAACGGAUAUGAGACAUGUAUCAUAUUUUCGAGCCGGAUAGCCGAGAUACCGAAUAGUCUGUAUCGACUAACAUCGCUAGUUUUAUCCUGUUAACGUUCUUUUUUUACUGAACACAAUUUUACAAAAUAUAAUAAUUUUAAAUUAAAACUUACAAUUAUAUGUAGGUAUAUAUAAUUAAGUAAAUAUAUAUAUGAAGAUAAUAAGUAUUAUCACAGUAAAUAAAUCAUAUUUUGUGAGAUUUACACUUAAAUAAGAUAUUAAAAUUUUAUAAAAUGAUGAAUAUUACUUACAUAUGUAAUAAAUUAAAAAUAUAAUUUGCAUAUUAGUUCCAAUCGAAUAUGAACCAUCGAUCAUAUUCGGAUAUUUGGGUAGGAUCAUAUUAGAAAAAAUUUUAUGUGCCCAGGAUUGCUCAUAUUCGGGAUCAUAUAUCAUUUAAUUAUAUUAUUAUAGACUUGUUAAAUAAGAUAUAUAAAUUUAUGUAAAUAAUUUUUGCAGCCUAAACAUAUGUAUAACUUAUAAUUAAAAAAUAUUAAAUUUGUUACAUUAUUAUCAAAUUUUGUUACUGGCAAGAAACCUCCAGGAAGUGUGGUGUGUAGGUACUUCUUUGUGUUUCAUUACUUUAUCAAAUGGGCAAGUCAGAAUAAUCAGAAAAAGUUUAAUCCGCAGGACCACUGCUUCCACUAUAAAUUUAUAAUCAUUAUAGUUGUUUUCUCAAUUCUCAUUGAAGAAUGAUGUUGCCGAUCUAGACUUGUCAGCUCUGCUUAUUCUUCCAAUUUUAUGAACAUAAUCAUCGAGGUCUUUUGGCAAAUUAAAGUUGAUGACACAGGUGACAUAGGCAACAUCCAGACCUUUUAGCUUCGGAGUUGUAGCAUUGGAAAUAUAUUAACUCCGAAUACAGGGGGUGUUUGGCCAGGUUUAAAAGCCCGACUUCUCGGUUUAUAAGUUAGAAACACGUAUUUUUACUGUUUGUGUAAAAAGUAAAGAAGUAUUUAUAAAAAGGAGAGAAUACUAGUCUUUGUUCAUAGUUUUUGCGUCUUUCCCAAAUACUUUAAGCUUCUAAUUUUUAAUUCACUUCUUUAUUCUAAGCAAGAAGCGCUUAUUUUAAGCUCAAUCAAACAGCGUCAUAGUAUUUGUAAUUUGAUCCGUGUGUGAUUGUAAUUUAUUCAGUGAUGGCUUAACAUUUCCCGGUUUGCAAUUUUUCUCUAUUCAAAAUUCAAUAUCUACAAUUUUGUAUCUGAUCAGUUGAAGCUGUCAAUCGUUAGUUUAGGAUACAUAUUCAUCCUUACUAUGCCUCCUCAAGAACGACGUUGUUUUAACAAUGACCAUCCUGGAAAACAGAGAUUGAAAAGCAGCUCUUGGAAGUAGUUUUGUGAGGGAAUCAGUAACUUAUUCAGAAGUCUGUUUUUGCUAGAAUUUUCAUAAAUUAUGCAGAACUGUGUUGUACCGCUUUUUGUUUCUUUUUUCUAGGAAUUGCAAUUGGAAUUUGGAGUGCUUAGGUUCUGGUCGUUUAGAUCACUACUGACAUGUCACUGGAAAUUACUCAGGGGACAUUUAGAGAAUCAGGUAGACGAGAAUGUGAAAGAUAUGAUAUUCUAAGAUGUGAAAUGAAUGAAUUAUCCACCUCUAAUGUUAUAUAACACAAAUACUAAUCCAAACAAAUGCUCAGGGAUGUGAAAUGAAUGAAUUAUCCUUUGAUUUUGACGUUUCCAUGGUGGUGGUGUGUCAGGGUUAAUACCUUGGCAUACACCGGCUCUGAUACCAGGUGUGGAAACUAUUGAUUGUGUAUCAACUGCGUAAGUUUAGGAGAAAAAGAAAAAACUGAAGAGACAAACCCUGGCUUUUUACUUAUUACUUAAUACUUCAACUUACAUGCGACGUACAUAUAUAAAGACCGAAAAAUACUGCUAGAGCUCCUAAACACCAGCGCGCUUACACCAGCUUUUAAUACUCACACUACUCCAUGUUCCCUGCCGAUGAUUUUACACUGCCUGCUGUCUAGAAAAACAACUUGUACUGACCCAUGCUUUGCUACUAUUCGAGAAACAUUUCUUUAAAAACAAAAACAUAAGUUUGGAAUAAUUAAUUCGACAUAAAUGGCAAUGCUAGUGCUUCACAGCAAAGAUUCAGCUUUAUGGUUAUUCUAUGAGACCAUUUGCCAGAUUGGGUCAGUGUUGGCUUUGCAGCUGCAACAGGAGCGUCAAUUUCUUACAAUACAAUCUAUUCAUGGUAUUCAUAUUCAAAUAUAAUGAUUCCAAAUCCAAAAUCUAGACACACUGAUUAUAAAAUAAUUCGAUUUUUUGACCAUAAAGGUACAUCUAAAUGAUAUCGUUUGAUGCCCAAACAAAAUAUCAAACACAAGCUCGGAUUCUGAACGCCUGAAGAACUCGGUCAAUUCCAACUCCAAAUUUUCUAAUUUCUCAAAACGUUUCUUUUAUUCAAACUUAAAUAUCUAAUUAAAUUUUAAUACAAAAAGAUAAAAUAAAUAUACAAUACUAACUCUAAAGUUUAGAUUUUUAACUGGAGAAAAGUGUUCAAAUAUUCUAGGAAGUUACAUGAGUACAUAAAAUAAUAUAAAUUAAUUUAUAAUUAUCUGAAUAAAUUCUUCAAAUUAGACCGUCUCCUAACAUUUUCACUACAAAACCCCCCUACUUGAACCAUGAUGCUCUUUUAACUUAUACUCCCUAGAAAGUAGUUUGAACACGACAAAGAGAAAAUUAAAAAAUUAAAGUAGUUUGAAAAUUCAUUUAAUGGACAAUUCAAUAAGCUAUAUAAAGUUAAAGUAAAUAAUUAUCAGGAAAAAUAAUUUCCUCCACAAAGUUAAAAUUAUUAUUAUAAAAGUAAAGUUUUCCAUUACAUGGGCCUAUUGACGUAUGGAAUGGAAUGGUUAAUAAGUUUGAAAGACUUCGAUAGCUGGAAGAUGAAUUUGCAUCAAUUUCAAAAAAUGAAUUCAAGCAUGGUUUCCAGCCAUCUCCGGGCAGGAAGCACAACUAUCUCCUCUAUUCUCAUUAGAUCUCUGAUAUUUCUAAGUACCAUUCAAUUCGCAGCAACUCUACAUUUUAACUUUACCAACUUCAACCGUACCAAUGAUGAUCAAAUAAAAUACGAGAGAGAUGCCUUUACGGCCAACGAUGUCAUCCACCUCACAAAUGCCGUGGUUGGUCAAUCAGCUCAGUCAAGUAUCGGACGAGUUACUUAUAGACAGCCUUUGCAUCUAUGGGAUAAGGCCUCAAGAAACCUUACUGACUUCACUACCCGUUUCACUUUUGUGAUUGAUUCCAGAAAUGAUACAUCGUAUGGCGAUGGGAUGGCGUUCUUUCUAGUUCCAAAUGGUACCGGGGUCCCGGCACUUGCAACAUCUGGUGGAACAUUUGGACUUACAAAUGAUAGUCAGCCUACCAACACCACUGCCAAUAAAUUUGUUGCUGUUGAAUUUGACGUGUAUGGGAACGACUGGGACCCUGGCGAGUCGCUGGACCCUGAUCUCACCAUUCCUCCCGGUGAGAAACCUGAGCAUGUAGGUGUUGAUAUCAACUCUGUGGAAUCCGAGGAAACUGAGCUUUGGAAAUAUGGGAGUUCUAGUGUUAUAAAUGGGUGGACAAACGAAGCUCAGAUAAGUUAUGCUUCUAGUUCAAAAAAUCUUAGUGUUUCAUUCCGUACACUAAAUUACAAAGAUUCGCCUCAAAGUUUCUACUUUGUGGUUGACCUAAGGGACCAUUUGCCAGAUUGGGUCAGUGUUGGCUUUUCAGCUUCAACAGGAGCCGCAAUUUCUUACAAUACAAUCAAUUCAUGGGAAUUCAGUUCUACUCUGGAGUCCCAUGCAGAGGCUCCGAGUCCAAGUCAUCCGUUACCACCGGUUCCGCCUCCAAGUCAAACCGGUCCAGUACCACAGGUUCCAAAACAUAUUAAAACAAAUAAUAAGAGGAUGGGUCUUGUGAUUGGAUUGGCGGUGGGGGUGUUUCUUCUUGUUUGUUCUGGGGCCAUAUACCGUAUUUUGAAGAAGAAGAAAGAGAAACAGGAAUAUGAAAAUAAUAUUUGUUUUGAGGAUGAUUUCAUGGAUGAUGAAUUUGAGAAAGGAACAGGACCUAAAAAGUUCUCUUAUAGUGCUCUUGCUAUGGCAACAAGUAGCUUUGCACCACAUGGAAAACUUGGAGAAGGUGGAUUUGGGGAAGUUUACAAAGGCUUCUUGAGUGAACUGAAUUUGGAUGUGGCUGUCAAAAGAGUAUCAAGAAAUUCUAGACAAGGAAUAAAGGAGUAUGCAUCCGAAGUGAGGAUCAUUAGUCGUCUCAGACAUAAAAAUUUGGUGCAGCUCAUUGGUUGGUGCCAUGAACGGAAUAAUCUUUUACUUGUGUAUGAGUAUAUGCAAAAUGGUAGCCUGGAUUCCCAUCUUUUCAAGGGGAAGAGCUUGCUGUCUUGGAGUACAAGGUAUAAAAUUGCUCAAGGCCUGGCGUCAGUAUUGCUUUAUCUACAUGAAGAAUGGGAGCAAUGUGUGGUGCAUAGAGACAUUAAAUCAAGCAAUGUCAUGUUAGAUUCGAGUUUUAACACUAAGCUAGGUGAUUUCGGACUGGCCAGAUUUGUUGAUCAUGAAAGGGGUGCACAAACAACUAUGGUGGCCGGGACACGAGGCUACAUGGCCCCUGAAUGUUUUUUCACAGGCCAAGCUAGCAGGAUGUCGGAUGUUUUCAGCUUCGGAGUUGUAGCACUGGAAAUAGCCUGUGGUCGAAAACCUAUUGACAUCAAGCUAGAAGAAAGUCGGAUAGAAUUAGUAAAGUGGGUUUGGGAGCUUCAUGGAAGGGAACAAAUUCUUGAAGCAGCAGACCCAAAACUCUCGGGGGAUUAUGACGAGAGUCAAAUGAAACGGUUGAUGAUGGUCGGGCUCUGGUGUGCACAUCCAGAUUGGCCAAUUAGGCCUUCCAUUAAGGAGGCCAUUCAAAUUCUUAAUUUUGAUGCUCCAUUGCCUGUUCUGCCGCCCCAGAUGCCUGUGGCAACCUAUUCCAUACCAUCAAACUUGUGUUCAGAAAACAGGGCCACAACCCAGAGAAGCCAAACUCAUUCUUCAGGCUCUAGUAACGGAACUGAUUCAUCAGUGUCUGCAACUGCAGCACGUCUAAAUAAUACUAGAUAAGCGAGAUAAGCGUGUCGGUUAAUAUGCAACUCAAUACUUAUAUGUGUGAUUUUGCAAUUUGAUUUCAGUUUGAUUGUAAUUCAUUCAGUGAUUGCUAUUUUUUCAUAAUUUAUUUAACAUUACAACAAAUAAAAACUAUAUCAUUUAAUCAAAUUAUUAUUGAAUUAAAUUAUUGCCUCGCGUAAUUAUAUGUAUAAUUUAAAAUUAAAAAAAUACUACUCCCUCCAUCCCAUUUUAAGUGUCCAUUUUGUCAAAAAAAAAUUUCCCAAAAUAUGUGUCAUACUCUUUAACCCAUGUAAAAUUUAUACCAUUUCCAAUAUAAUAUUAAAUACAACCAACAACUCCUCAUAAAUAUAUUUAGAAGCAUUAUGAAUGUAUAGUGUAAUUUGAAGUGAGAGAAGGUUCAAUACACAAUAAUUAAUGAGAUAUGUAAUUAAUAUGUAUGAAAACUAAGCUGAUUAGUUGUGGAAAGAUAGUUGUGGAAAGAUGGUGAUAAAAAUAUUACAUUAAUUGUUUCUUAAUAUGUGUGAAAAUUGCAAAGUGGACACUUAAAAUGGGAUGGAGGGAGUAAAAUUUUACAUUAUUAUCAUAUUUUUUAGUCAUACCAGAGUAAAUUUCUUAUUGCCCAACAAUAAUUUCUCUAUAAUAACUUUAAUUUUCCUUUAACAGGAUCUAGAAUAAAUAUGUUAUCUUACGAAUUUAGUAUGUCUCUAAAUUUUGUAAUGUGAAUAUGUGAUCUUAAUUUUAUUAUUGAUUAAAUAGUUGAUACAUGUCAUUUUUUCAUGACCAAAAAACUGGCAAGAAACCUCCAGGGUAUUAAUUGGAGCUUUACAUGUGUGUGCUUGUGUAGUUACUUGUUUGUGUUUUAUUACUUCAUCAAAUUUGCAAGCCAGAAUAAUUAGAAAACGUGUAAUCCGCGAACCAGUGCUUGCAUUAUAAUCAUUAUAGUUGUUGUUUUCUCAUUGAAGAAUGUUGUUGCCAAUCUAGACUUGUCAGCUCUGUCUUUUUUCCAAUUCUAUGAACAUAAUCAUCCAAGUCUUUUGACAAAUUAAAGUUGAUCAGAUGGGAGACAUGGGCAACAUCCAGACCUUCUGCACCAACAUAGUAGCCAGCAGGAGGAUAGGCGUAAUCAGUAAUACCAGUUCUGAUUUUUGAAUGAUCUUAAUGCCGUUUUCAGCAAAUUCAAAAACAAAUAAUAAAAAGAUGGGUAUAGUGAUUGGAUUGGCGGUAGGGGUGUUUGUUCUCGUAUAAUGCUCUUGCUAUGGAAAUAAGUAACUUUACACAAUUUGGGGAAGUUUACAAAGGCUUCCUGAGAGAAUUGAACUUGGGUGUGGCUGUCAAGAGAGUGUCAAGAAAUUCCCGAAGUGAGGAUCAUUAGCACUGGAAAUAGCAUGUGGUCGAAAACCUAUUGAGCUCAUGGUAGAAGAGAGUCAGGUAGAAUUAGUAAAGUGGGUUUGGAGCUUUAUGCAUGGAAGGGAACAAAUUGUUGAAGCAGCUGACCCAGAACUCUCCACUAGUGAUGAUUGUUGGGCUUUGGUGUGCACAUCCACAUUGGAUAUUUGGGCAGAUGUCUGUCUGGUUUAACCCGGAUCAAUUACGGCCCUGUUAUAAUAUAAAGGUACAACUCCAAUGAUAUAGUUUUUUUUUUUUUUUUUUAAAGUCUACAUACACGUAUAUGAAUUGUAUCGAAAUACAAUAAACCGCAUCAGGGAUUUCUUUCUUUUAAGAAAGUUUAUCAUCUAACCGAAAGUCAUGCAAGCAUAACUCCGGACGCUUAGACAAUAAAGCUUAAAUGAAUAAGUAAAGAAAACCCAUAAGUCCCGUAGCUUCCAGAGUAUCCUGAAAAAACAAAUCAACCAAAACAUAAAUCAACAUACAAAAAAAUCACACACAUAUAAGUUUAAUUAAAGUAAAAUAAAAAAUCUAAUAAAAAGCAAAACAAAAAUAUAUAUAUAUAUUAAAAAUAGAUAGAAAAUAAAAUAAUAUAGAAAUAUUAAUUAAUUUCUAACCAAAGGAAAAUCCUUUGGUUAGACACAUAAAAAUUAAUUUUUUGGGACAAUAAAAAUUAAAAUUUAAGUGAGGAGUAAAGGAUGAAAUAUAAUUAAAUAUAAUUAAAUAAAAUGAUCAUCAAAAUGGUCAAUAAGCCAUUAAAAGUGGCAUCCAUAAUUGGAACAAAAAGCCAUAAAAGGCACGAUAAAGCCAUUAAAGGCACAAUAAAGUCAUCAUUAAUGACACCCAUAAAUGGUUUUUAAAUUUUGAAUCUUUGAAAAAUAAUAAAAGUAAACAAUUUUCAAAUUUGGAUGGUAAUUGAUUAUAACUUAAGAAAAGUUGACUAAUCUCCAUAAUAUACAGACAACACAUUUAAGGAGCAUUAAAACACAUUUAAGACAUAUAAAUCCAAAACCAAUUUCAAAUUUAAAUUUAUCAAUUUAUCAAUUUAAGAUAAUUCAUUUGUAUAUAAACGGUCAAUUAAUUAUCCAAAUUAAAGCAUAAUUUACUCAAAUUAAAAACAAAAUACAAGUUAAUGCAUGUAGUGGAAAGUCAAAUUCCAAGGAUAAACAAAUUUAAAAAGGAGUCAACUAUCCAUUCAAAAAUAACUGAUUUUAAGAUUUGCAAUUACUACUAUUAAAACCAAAUAAUAUUCAAAAUUACAAAUCUAAAACUAGAAUCAUGGAAUAAAACACGAACUAAUUAAGUCACCAGUGCACCACCGUCACCAUCCAAGAACCGCAAACAAUUAUUAUGAACACUAGCGAAAAAACUAAAAAUCGAACAUGAAGAUACAAAACACCAAAUGUAACUGAUCCUAUAUAUAAUAAAAGAUCGAUAAUAUCUAUCCAAUCUUUUCAAGUUCGGACAAAAAUAGAUAGAAAAAGAUGAAAAUUGGAUACGAAAACAACCCAUACAAUAUUAAAUUUAAGCACACAAUUAUACCUAAUCAUGAAAUAUGAAUCAUCUCACAAUAAUAUAUACAGUAAAACAAAAACCAAUCACAUAAUCAUAAUCAUGUAGGUUUAUGUUUUGAAAAGAUCACACCUGUUUUUUUUAAGUAUUUCCGCAGAUCUCCAAGACAAUUUGCUGAUGAAGGAGGUGUUGACAGCGUAGAUGGCGUUGCCCAAAGAUUAGUCUAGAGUCGGAUAUUCUUUCCUUAGCCAUGGCGCUUAGAUCAAAGAUUAAAAGUUAAAAAAAUACGUUAAAAAGAAAAUAGCAAUGUUGGUGAAACAUGAUCUGAGAAGGGUGGCUAAUGCGGUAGGAGUGGGACAAUGGUGGUGUGUUCAUGUGACACGACUACCAGACCCUAGAACUUGCUGCCUGGCGAUUUUAGUUGAAGGGACGAGAGAGGGAUUAUUAAUUCUACACGCCAGCUAUCAUCUUUUACUAGAGCCAGAGCUUAUUUGUUUGCUGACAGAUGGGUCUUUUGUAAUCCCAGUCCCCGUCCAAGGCUACUCCAAUGAUAUAGUUGAAUGCCCAAACAAAGUAUCAAACACAAGCUUGCAUUCUGAAGGGCCGAAGAACUCGGUCAAUUCCAACUCCAAAAUUUCUAGUUUAUCAAAAUAUCUCUUUUUUCAAAUAUAAAAAUCUAAUUGAAUUUUAAUAUUGAAAGAUAAAAUAAAAUAUACAGUGAUGACUCUAAAGUUUAGAAAACACUUUAGAAAAGUGUGCAAUAUUUUAGGAAGUUACGUGAGUAUAUAAUAUAAUAUAAAUUAAUUUAUAAAUAAAUACUUCAAACUACGGCCACCUGACAUUUUCAUUACAAACCCCACACAUACUUAAAAAUAACAUGUUCUUUGAACUUAUACUCUUAAAUAAAGUACUCCCUCCGUCCCUUUUUAUCUGUCCAUUUUGGAAAAAAAAACACAUACCAAGGAAUAAUUGAUUGUAUAAAUUUUUUCAUUAAAUACCUCUAAUUAAUAUCUUGAAAAUGGUGGAAUACCCCUACUUUAUGUCUUGAAAACAUGAAUUCAACCAAGUUUUAAAUAAGUCAAGCCUUGAAAAUUGAAAUUAUGGAGAUAUAUUUGAAAAACUAUCAUUAAAUUAGUUUUGAAAGUAUAAAUGGACAGAUAAAUAGGGACGGAGGGAGUAGUUUGAACUCGACAAAGAGAAAACUAAAAAAUCAAAUAGUUCGAAAAUUCAUUUAAUGCACAAUUCAAUAAUGUAUACUAUAAAGUUAAAGUAAAUUACACAGAAAAAUAAUUUGCUCCAUACGGUCAACAUUAUUAUUUUAAAAGUAAAAGUUUGCGGCACAUGGGGCCUGUUUACGUAUCGAAUGGUUUAUAAUAAAGAUUGAAGGACUUCGAUACCAGGAAGAUGAAUUUGCAUCCAAAUUUCAUAAUAUGGGUUCAAGCAUGGUUUGCAGCCAUCUCCGGUCAGGAGGCUCUACUAUCUCGUCUAUUUUCAUCAGAUCUCUGAUAUUUCUUAGUACCAUUCAAUUCGCAGCAACUCUACAUUUUAACUUUACCAACUUCAACCGUACCAAUGAUGAUCAAAUAAAAUAUGAGAGAGAUGCCUUUACCACCAACGAUGUCAUCCACCUCACUAAAGCCGUGGUUGGUCAAUCAGCUAAGUCAAGUAUCGGACGAGUUACUUAUGGACAGCCUUUGCAUCUAUGGGAUAAGGCCUCAGGAAACCUUACUGACUUCACUACCCGUUUCACUUUUGUGAUUGAUUCCAGAAAUAAUACAGCGUAUGGCGAUGGGAUGGCGUUCUUUCUAGUUCCAAAUGGUACUGAGGUCCCGUCACUUGCAACAUCUGGUGGAACAUUUGGACUCACAAAUGAUAGUCAGCCUACCAACACCACCGCCAAUAAAUUUGUCGCUGUUGAAUUUGACGUGUAUGGGAACAACUGGGACCCUCCCCCCCAGUCGCAGGACGAUGAAAUCUUCACUAAUCCCAUUGAUUAUUAUGAGCAUGUAGGUGUUGAUGUCAACUCUGUGAAAUCCGAGACAACUGUGUUUUGGGAAAAUGGGAGGUCUAGUGUUAUGAAUGGGUGGACAAAUGAAGCUCAGAUAAGUUAUGCUUCUAGUUCAAAAAAUCUUAGUGUUUCAUUCCGUACAAAUAUAACUGGCAACUCUAGUGCUUCACAUCAAAGUUUCUACUUUGUGGUUGAUCUACGAGACCAUUUGCCAGAUUGGGUC
rnacentral:lncRNA from 1 species